UUCGUCGUUGUUGUUGUUUUUUAAAGAGUGAACACAUUUUUACCAAUCUUUUAUUUGUCCGAUCACAGGCCAUUAUGUCCCAAGGACUGAGACAUGCUCCAAAAAAAAAAACGUUAUGAGGAGUAUGUACAAGACAUGAGCUCAUCUGAGUCCGUGCUGCCAUCUCCACCCCCAAAGAAGCCCCGUGUUUCUACUUUCCCCCUACCGCCUAAUAAAUAUGGCGCUGCCCCUGCCUCAAAAGCUGCCCCUGCCUCAAAAGCUGCCCCUGCCUCAAAAGCUGCCCCUGCCUCAAAAGCUGCCCCUGCCUCAAAAGCUG